UACGUAGGCAGCGAGCGUUGUUCGGAAUUACUGGGCGUAAAGCGUGCGCAGGCGGUUUGUUAAGUCCGUUGUGAAAGCCCCGAGCUCAACUUGGGAAUUGCAGUGGAUACUGGCAGGCUGGAGUACGGUAGAGGAAGGUGGAAUUCCCGGUGUAGCAGUGAAAUGCGUAGAUAUCGGGAGGAACACCAGUGGCGAAGGCGGCCUUCUGGACCAGUACUGACGCUCAUGCACGAAAGCGUGGGGAGCGAUCCGG
rnacentral:rRNA from 1 species